UGUGCCGGAAGGUCGAAAGGCUUGCUGCCUGAAGAUGAGCUCGCGUCCGAUUAGCUAGUAGGUGGGGUAAGAGCCUACCUAGGCGACGAUCGGUAGCUGGUCUGAGAGGAUGACCAGCCACACUGGGACUGAGACACGGCCCAGACUCCUACGGGAGGCAGCAGUGGGGAAUUUUCCGCAAUGGGCGAAAGCCUGACGGAGCAAUACCGCGUGAGGGAGGAAGGCUCUUGGGUUGUAAACCUCUUUUCUCAGGGAAGAACACAAUGACGGUACCUGAGGAAUCAGCAUCGGCUAACUCCGUGCCAGCAGCCGCGGUAAUACGGAGGAUGCAAGCGUUAUCCGGAAUGAUUGGGCGUAAAGCGUCCGCAGGUGGCUGUGUAAGUCUGCUGUCAAAGAGCAAAGCUCAACUUUGUAAAGGCAGUGGAAACUACACGGCUAGAGUGCGUUCGGGGCAGAGGGAAUUCCUGGUGUAGCGGUGAAAUGCGUAGAGAUCAGAAGAACACCGGUGGCGAAGCGCUCUGCUAGCCGCAACUGACACUGAGGGACGAAAGCUAGGAGCGAUGGAUUAGAUACCCAGUAGUC
rnacentral:rRNA from 1 species